GCGGAGGGGCCUCAAUGCAAGAGGUGGGCAGGAAGAGAGAGGACUCUCUCCCCAGCAGACCAGCAGACCCUCUGAUCAAUGUGAAGGCAGAGGUAACAAAUGCCCAUGAUACUCCAUUUGAGCAGAGUAACAUUCAGGACCUCGAUGCAAAGCAGAAAGUCGCUCAACAACCUCACAGGAGCAAUGCAGAUCGACAUUAGCAGCACUCAGUGAACCUCCACCAAGGAGAGAACCAGAAAUCCUCAGUUUUACCUCGAAGGAAGAAGCCACACAGUUCUCAGAGGAUGGGCUGAGUCACAUGCAUACAAGUAACUAUCACUGAGAAGAAAGACUUGUGAGAAGAAGACUUCUCCACAACUCAAGUACCAAUAUCACACUGUACCACCUUACCAAGCUGUAAGAGUCCUUGCUGUGAGGUAGAGACACUUCCUCACUCCGAGUACUGCAGACCAAUUUACAAAAAAAAGGAAUCUGAACAAAGAAGCUUCAAUCAACCUACAAAGCCAAGAAUCUCAAAAAAAUCACUGUUCUGCUAACAAUGCCAAUGUGACUGGAAACCUUCACUGUACCAAAAACAACAAUCCUUUGCAAAUAAUUCAAAGCCUAAAGCAUCCAGCUUUGUUUUUGAGUUUAAUCGUUUCAGGACUCAUAUUUUAUUUCUACUUUAUAUAUUGGAUUACUAAUUCUUCUUGUGUUUGGCAAUUAGUAAGUUCAUUGUUCUCACUAAUUCAAGAAAUCCCAGUUAAAUUGGCUCCUUUUAAAACAUAAUUUCAUUUGUUCUAGGAGAAAGGUAUCCACAAGGGCAGGUGUUCCUUAUACAAUUUUAUAUAAAAUAGUUGCAUGCUGAAACUGAUGAACAUCUGGCUGAAUAAAGACUUUGAGGCAGUUAAUCCAUUCUCACCCAGAGUUUAAUAGUUUGGAGUGUCUUAAAAGGAACUGUAUAGAUUUAGGGAACCUCACCUAUGGUCUGGUCAUAAUGAUGGUUGGCUACAGUCAGUACCUCACAUGUUAUGCACAGCCAAAGGGAUGUGCUGUUUGAUGUGAUCUGCCAGUUAUGGACACUUGUGGCCUGCAUACCAGGCAUCACACAGGCACACGGAAAUUCAAAUACCACAUUGUGAUGGGCAGAAAGAUGAUUUGGCUUGAUGGUAGCGACCUGUUAAUAGCAAAUACUACUCGUGUUGCUACUGUAUCGCAGCAGUAUGCAACAGCUAACUUUACUUGAGAUAUCUUACCCUUCCACUGUUAUCUGAGAUAGGCUGAGUGUUUUUUAGGACCAAGAGUGACAACCUUCGGGCCUUGCAUCAGUCUGUGUGGUAUAUAGUGAGAAAUGAUCUGAUCGGGCCAACUAGUUGGGUAAACUGUUCUAACCAGUUUUGAACGAGGUCCCCACUACAAGAUGAAGAAUUGGAAAAGUCUUCGUGGAAGUAUUCAAGAUACUGAGUAACAUGAAAUAAGAUGACACAUUGUUUCUAUGUUCUUGGAUAGAUGAGUUAACCAUAGAAGAUAGGCGCAAGAGGGCCGUUGAUCAAUAUGAUUGGGUCAUUAUUCUGAAACACUGCUAUUAGGCUAUGGUUAUUUAUUGUGCAGAACACAAGACACACACUUUAAAAUAAAAUUGCCAAAUAUUAUCAGAAACAUAAUCCUAUUGAAUGCCAUAAAAAGCAUGAUAUAUAUUAAAUGCAUUGUUAAAUAUGUACUGUGUAUAACCUGAACUCUGUUAACACUAUCAUAGUGACUCACCUGCUGCAACCCACGUCCACUCUACACGUAAUGGGUUUUCUCAGAAAAUGCAUCUUUCUACAGAAAUUGCAUCAGCGGACACAAUGAUAGGAAUAGAUCCAUCAAUCAAUGUGCAGUGAAACUACUCAGUGUAAUCUUGCUCGACAUAAAAGGCAUGGGAAUUAAGAGACACACAAUACAAGUAACAAAAAGAACAUUAUGCAGUUUCACCAUCAUGAACAAGUCUUUGUAUUCUACAAAGUCUCAUGAAUAAUUGAGAAAGUAGAUAAUUGGAGGUUUUUGCUUGUACUUAAUAACACCUCCAGAGGGUAAACAUGACCUGAAAAUACAAGGUUUUAAUUUAUUAUCUGUCUUAAUACAAGUCCUAUCUUGAUAUUCUAUUGCUACUUUGGCACAAAUAUUCCUCACUGGUUUGAAAUGUUUAAUCGAGUGGGACAAUGAAUGUCUAUGACCAUCAAAUGCCAAAUUUUGAUUAUUUUCUUCAAGAUUAUGUGCCAACACUAAUAAUAUGCCUUCAAGACUCCGUGCAUCUUUUUUUUAAUGAAGGUAGAUCAUUUCUUUCCUCUCCACUCUUCACCUUACUUGAGCAGUUAAACUCUCAGUAAAGAGCAUCCAUUGACAGCUGGAGGCUGUGAUCUUAGGACAGUGGAUCUGAGAGAUGUGCUUCCUAAAGUGUGGUCCUGUCUCAUUUUAAUUGCUGCCUUUAUUUGCUAUUUGAAUUGCUUACCAGAUAGCAAUAUUUAAUUUCAAACCAAUAAGAAAGAAUGUGCACACAUAAUAGGCAUGUGACAUCAUCUUUAUCCACAAUAAACCAAUUCGAUGACAAGACGGUGAAUUAUGGGAUGAGUAAUUAUAGCAGGCCACAUUUCUGUAUGAACAAUGAAUGCAUUCUUAAUCAUUCUUAACUAUGUGUUGAUUAUUAACAUACUUCAGCAUUAAAAAGUUAGAAGAAUAUCAUAUAAUCAUGUUAAGUGAUCAAUUUUUCUUCAUUAACAUUGCAACGAUUGUAGUGUCCAGUGACAAAUGCUAUGAAAUUUCACUUUAAAUCCCUUAUUUGUUUUGUAUUCAAAUUUUUAUGUUAACAAUUACUAUACUUCACAUUGUAAUUGUUUAGAGCACUCUAAAGUACAGUGAUGUUUAAUUCAAUCAUCAAGCAAUAAUUGCUUAAAUUUCUCUAAUGUUAUUUUUAACUUUUUCCUUUAAAAUUUUAAGAUCAUUCCAUUUGAGUCUUACAUAAUAUCUUAGUAUGGGACCUUGCCUGUAGAUGUGACAGUUUUAACUAUUAACUAUUGCUUAAAAUUGAAAAAACAGUAGCAUAAAAAUAAUGUAACAAAAAACUUUCAGUUUUAGAUUCAUUAUUGAGACCUGGAUGUUGCUACCAGCGUUUAAUAUCUCUUUGUGAUAUGGAAGAUUUACUUGGAUUCUAAUUAUGUGUUGACCUAUUACACCCUAGAGAAAAGAGGUUUGUAUUUCAAUGAACUUUACUCAACAUUAUUUCGCUCUGUAGCGUGCACUUUAAGAAAACAACCCACAUCUGAGAAAAGCUGUUCAUUUUCAGCCAGCUGAGUUGUUCAUGGUUCAUCCAAUUUAGAUUGGCUCAUGCUUCAUCGUACACUGACUAGUCUCUAACCAAACACAGUGCAAUUGCUGGUUGUGCUUUACGUACAAUCUGAAUUUUAAUGGUGUGUUAUGGAGUUUUGUAAAAGGCUGAAUUAUUGAAAGAGUUAAUUCUUUAAACACAGCUAAUUUGUUUUGCAAGCAUUGGUAGACAAAAGAUAGUCCAAAAGCCAACUGUAUUUUCUUCUUGUACUUGACCACAAUGGUGGUAGUUUACCAUAAUCUAUACUUAAAAUAGACAGCGGUGAUCCAUUUGUACCAAUAAAUUUUGGUCAUGUUAAAAUAAUAAUGGACAAGCCUAUUUAUAACACAAGGUUGAAAUUAGGUCUCCCGUGGAAAGCAACUAAAGUCGUCUUACUUAUUUUUCUAAUAGUUCAACCAAUAUUGUAGGUUGGUUGAAAAAUGACUGAUUUUGCAGAGAGAAGUUUGUUUAUUGUGUACCGGGGCCUCCAGGUGCGUGCAAGCCUUCAGUCCUGCGGUCAAGGAUGUGGUUAGAUAGCAGGCUCGAUCGUUUUUGCAUGCUAGAAAGGAAGCAGCUCAUUUUUGCAGUGCAGCAGCUCAAACUGAGCUAUACUUUUUUCUCUCAGCUAUCUUCGAUUCAGGUCACCUGAUACUGGUUGGCCCAGUUUCGUGACAAGGCAGCAAGGGCCAGUUUCCGGAGCGAGAAGCACUGAUGACGUGCUACACGCUGUCGGAGUACAGAACGACUGUGAGAAAGGAACCAGCGCUUGUGCGCUUAGUCCCUUUCCAGUAAAUGAGUACAGCUGCCGUGUAUCACAAGUGAUAACAGAUCGGACACACAUCUGAGAAACUGAAAACUGCUGCUUUCUGCAAGAAAAAAACUGUGAGAUGAUUAAUUAAUACACAAUUUAAAAUACAUAGAAUUUACUGCUGCAAAACGGGUUAUGAAUUGUAUACCUAUACUGUAACACCUGUAUUCAAAGAAUAACAUCACUUGUCAUUAAUAGAAUUCAUGCUAACUAAAAUACUCAUUUAAGUGAUUAGAACUGAAAAUCCCAAGCUUUGUUUUUUUAUAUCUCUAUAGCAUGUAUUUGAGUGAAAAAUAACUGAAGCUUUCAAUUAUUGGUAAAUAUAUACUUCUCCUGAAUCAUUUAUUGGGUCACAAUUACAUUCCAAAUUAAACCCCCCAACCAAUCCGUAUGACAUUCCUCAUUUCUAUUGUCCAACCAAUGGCAGUCAGUGUACAAAAAUUAGAUAAUGUUGUCAAAAUGACUAGUUGAACUGGAUGGACUUAGUGGAACUUCUCGUUGUCAUCUUUCUAGUCAUUCUUUCUCCCCUGGCUAUAAUUUUAAACAUGAGCCUAAAAAAAAAGCCAACCAGCUACACAGGAGGAUUUGAAGGAGUUGUGUUC